rnacentral:tRNA from 1 species
ACACUAGCUCAGUUGGUAGAGCGCAACCUUGCCAAGGUUGAGGUCACGAGUUCGAACCUCGUGGGU